CGGCAACAGCUCAAAUUUGAAAUCUGGCCUUUGGUCCGAGUUGUAAUUUGUAGAGGAUGUUUCGGGUACGGCUGCGGUUUAAAUUUCUUGGAACAGAAUGUCAAAGAGGGUGAGAAUCCCGUCUUGGACCGCGGCACGGCCUAUGUGAAACUCCUUCGAC
rnacentral:rRNA from 1 species